GGGGCUGUGGCUCAGUGGUAGAGCACUUGUCUAGAACUCAUGAGGCCCUGGGUUUGAUCCCCAGCACCGCA
rnacentral:tRNA from 1 species